CUUCAUCACUGCAGCACUUCUGCUGCUGGAUCCAUGAAAACAACAGUGCCCGUAACCUGUUUACCCUCAUAGCGAUCUUCAUCAACUUUGGGUUGGCCUCUACUGACAUGGUGUGGUGCAUCCUCAUGAACACAGGAGAGGCUGACAUAACUGAGAAGACUGGCACAGGCUCACGUCCACUCACUGUCUGCACUUAUCCUGAGAUUUUCGUGUUGAGCGGGGUGAUUGCCAUGGUGACGUGUGCGGUGUUUUUGCGUCUGAACUCUCUGCUGAAGCUGGCAACGCUGCUGCUAGCAGUGGCUGUCUACUCCUACCUCAGCCACCUCGCCUUUGUCUCACUCACGCGCCACGAUAUGCUGC
ensembl:lncRNA